UUAAAGUUUUAUUCUUGCUUAUUAAUUUAUUUUAGUUUUGUUUUACAUGUGAGUUUUUGCGUGAUUUUUCUGGGGAAUCUUGAAGAUUUUUUAUUUAUUAUUUAUUCGCAGUAUUUAAUUUUAUUAAUCAAGGAAAGUUGGAAUUAGUAAUAAUUUAUAGUGCCGGCAAAAGUCGUGCCAGCAGCCGCGGUUACACGGAGGGCACAAGUAAAUAUUUUUAGUUUAUAGUUAUAAGUACAGUAGUUGAGGAUAUAAAAUUAAAUUUGUUAGGUGGAAUUUUAAUUUUAAAAUAUUUCUUUCAUAUUUAUUAGAAGCUGUGAAAUUUAAAUUUUAAACUAGGAUUAGAUACCCUAUUAUUUUAAAUGUAAACCAAAAGGGCUUGAGUAGUAAUAGAUAUGUUCUUGAAACUCAAAGAAUUUGGCGGUGUUUUAGUCCUUUCAGAGGAACCUGUCCCAUAAUCGAUAGUCCACGUUUUACCUUACUUAAUUUUGUUAUCAGCUUGUAUACCGCCGUCGUCAGAAUGUCCUUAGAGGGGUAUAAUUUUCUUGAUUUUUUAUUAAAAUUGAUGUCAGGUCAAGGUGCAGCUUAUGGUUAAGUGGAGAUGGGUUACAAUAAACUUAUUUAUACGGAAAAUAGGUGGCAGAACUUAUUGGAAGGUGGAUUUGAUUGUAAUUAAUUUGAUUAAGUUAAUUUGAUUUUGGCUCUAAAACAUGCACACAUCGCCCGUCGCUCUCGUUAUUUAAGGCGAGAUAAGUCGUAACAUAGUAGGUGUACCGGAAGGUGUACCUGGAAAGUU
rnacentral:ncRNA from 1 species